CUUUUAAUAAUUUUAUAAAACUUAAAAAAAUAUAUUAAAAUUAUUGUAAUACAUUUAAUAUAAAUAAAUACUCAAUUUCGGAAAACCUAUAAAAAAAGCUUCUGUUAACUUAACUUGACCUUGCUUAUGCUUUGCUAGUUCUUUUCCGUUCAGCUACCGCGAUUGGAACAUGUCUUAUUCACCUGAAAGAAGAUCAGAAGAUUGGCCGGAGGAUUCCAAAAAUGGGCCAUCAAAAGAUCAAGGAAAUUACGAUGGACCUCCGGGUAUGGAACCCCAAGGGGCUCUGGACACUAACUGGCAUCAGGUCGUGGAAAGCUUUGAUGACAUGAAUUUGAAAGAAGAAUUGCUGAGAGGAAUUUACGCCUAUGGUUUCGAAAAACCGUCGGCCAUCCAGCAACGCGCUAUUAUGCCUUGCAUCCAGGGCCGCGAUGUUAUAGCUCAAGCCCAGUCUGGAACUGGCAAAACUGCUACUUUCUCGAUUUCAAUUCUUCAACAAAUUGAUACUAGUAUUCGUGAAUGCCAAGCACUUAUUCUGGCCCCAACCAGAGAGUUAGCUCAGCAAAUCCAAAAGGUGGUGAUAGCUCUUGGUGAUCACUUGAAUGCUAAAUGUCAUGCCUGCAUUGGUGGCACCAACGUGCGCGAGGAUGUGCGUCAGCUGGAGAGUGGUGUUCAUGUGGUGGUGGGCACGCCUGGUCGCGUCUACGACAUGAUAACUCGCCGUGCUCUGCGCGCUAACACCAUCAAGCUGUUUGUGCUGGAUGAAGCUGAUGAAAUGUUGUCUAGAGGAUUCAAAGAUCAAAUUCAUGAUGUAUUCAAGAUGUUGUCUGCUGAUGUUCAAGUCAUUCUGCUGUCUGCUACCAUGCCGGACGAUGUACUUGAGGUAUCUCGAUGCUUCAUGAGAGACCCUGUGCGCAUUCUUGUGCAGAAGGAAGAGUUAACACUGGAAGGUAUUAAACAAUUCUACAUUGCUAUUGAAUUAGAAGAAUGGAAGCUGGAGACCCUCUGUGACUUGUAUGACACCCUCUCCAUCGCUCAGGCUGUAAUUUUCUGCAACACUCGUCGCAAGGUCGACUGGCUGACUGAGUCUAUGCAUGGACGUGACUUCACCGUCUCUGCCAUGCACGGCGAUAUGGACCAGCGUGAGCGUGAGGUGAUCAUGCGGCAGUUCCGUACAGGAUCCUCUCGUGUCCUGAUCACUACUGAUUUACUUGCCCGCGGCAUUGACGUGCAGCAAGUCUCUUGCGUCAUCAAUUAUGAUCUGCCUACUAACCGUGAAAACUACAUUCAUCGAAUUGGAAGAGGUGGGCGUUUCGGCCGUAAAGGAAUCGCAAUCAACUUUGUAACUGAAGCUGACAGAAGAGCACUCAAGGAUAUUGAGGAGUUCUACCAUACAAGCAUCUCGGAAAUGCCCAGCGAUGUGGCUAACCUCAUCUGAGGCGCCUACGCUUACCCGGUUUAUACUUUGUGUCCUGCGUUCUAUUGCGAUAUUUAUAAGAAGAUCUACCCACUGAGCCUGUGAAACGCACUGUGGACACAACUAUGUGGAAAUAAUAAAUCAAAAUUUCCUCAAUAUGUUCAUUACUUUCUUUUGACAGGUCCUUAUUGUAUCCUGUAUUCCCAUUUACAUUGCUUUUGCAUUUUACUUUUUAAAAGAUUGUUUUCUACAUGGUUUUUAUGUUCAUUUCGAAUUAUUUAUAUUUUUGGAAUAAAUUUUGUUCGAAGUAUUAGUGACUUUUGACAAAAAUGAUAAUUAAGGUUCCUACGCUAACAUAAUAUUAUCUUUAUAUAAGUACUAAAGCUGAUCUAAUUCCAAAUACAUUUAAUAACCAUAAUAUGUUAAUUUUAGCUUAUAGACACUUUGUGACGAUCAAUAUUCAGAUAUAAACGCAUGACAACUC
rnacentral:misc_RNA from 1 species